ACAUGUAUGAGGGUAGAAAUGGGGGUAUUUUACUGAAGUAUUCUUGCCAAAUGAAGAUUAAACAGUAAUUCUUAGACAUGACCAUAAAAAGAGGGGGGAUAGGACCUUUAUCGGGACUCCGGGAUCGGGUGUUUUUAAGCUUGGGAUUAUCCCCCCUCAUAAAAUGUACACUUUUUUCCAGACGAUUAAAAAAUCAGCUGAAUUUGACAAAUCACACUAUUUGUUUUCCAAAAAUAACCGUAAUUGGAUGGGGGUUCUGUGUAUUCACAUUAUUUGAACAACUCUCCUUGGGCCGAGAAAAAAAAGAUCCCUGUUUCAGGUAACCCGACCGACCCUGUUUUUAAACCCCGACCCUAACUUUUUUAUUGGAUCUUUCAAAAAAAAAAAUUAAAAAAUAAUUAUCAAUCGACCCUGUUUUUGACACAGGCUUCUGAUAAAUGACAUAUUUUUUUCUCUCUUGCUUCCUCUUGCAUAGAAAGGCAGUAAAACAUUUUAUUAAUGUCAAAAGGUAUUCCAAAUAGGUUAAAAUCCAAGAAAUUUGCACAGCAGGUGCUUCAUAAACAUUGCAAAUGGCCCAAGACCACAAUUAAUGACCCCGC
rnacentral:lncRNA from 1 species